GACGAACGCUGGCGGCGUGCCUAAUACAUGCAAGUCGAGCGAAGUUUUUCUGGUGCUUGCACUAGAAAAACUUAGCGGCGAACGGGUGAGUAACACGUAAAGAACCUGCCUUAUAGACUGGGACAACUAUUGGAAACGAUAGCUAAUACCGGAUAACAGCAUUAACUGCAUGGUUGAUGUUUAAAAGUUGGUUUUGCUAACACUAUGAGAUGGCUUUGCGGUGCAUUAGCUAGUUGGUGGGGUAAAGGCCUACCAAGGCGACGAUGCAUAGCCGACCUGAGAGGGUGAUCGGCCACACUGGGACUGAGACACGGCCCAGACUCCUACGGGAGGCAGCAGUAGGGAAUCUUCCGCAAUGGGCGAAAGCCUGACGGAGCAGCGCCGCGUGAGUGAAGAAGGAUUUCGGUUCGUAAAGCUCUGUUGUUAGGGAAGAAUGAUUGUGUAGUAACUAUACACAGUAGAGACGGUACCUAACCAGAAAGCCACGGCUAACUACGUGCCAGCAGCCGCGGUAAUACGUAGGUGGCAAGCGUUGUCCGGAAUUAUUGGGCGUAAAGCGCGCGCAGGUGGUUUAAUAAGUCUGAUGUGAAAGCCCACGGCUCAACCGUGGAGGGUCAUUGGAAACUGUUAAACUUGAGUGCAGGAGAGAAAAGUGGAAUUCCUAGUGUAGCGGUGAAAUGCGUAGAGAUUAGGAGGAACACCAGUGGCGAAGGCGGCUUUUUGGCCUGUAACUGACACUGAGGCGCGAAAGCGUGGGGAGCAAACAGG
rnacentral:rRNA from 1 species